rnacentral:rRNA from 1 species
GAUGAACGCUGGCGGCGUGCCUAAUACAUGCAAGUCGAGCGAACAGACGAGGAGCUUGCUCCUCUGACGUUAGCGGCGGACGGGUGAGUAACACGUGGAUAACCUACCUAUAAGACUGGGAUAACUUCGGGAAACCGGAGCUAAUACCGGAUAACAUGUUGAACCGCAUGGUUCAACAGUGAAAGACGGUCUUGCUGUCACUUAUAGAUGGAUCCGCGCCGCAUUAGCUAGUUGGUAAGGUAACGGCUUACCAAGGCAACGAUGCGUAGCCGACCUGAGAGGGUGAUCGGCCACACUGGAACUGAGACACGGUCCAGACUCCUACGGGAGGCAGCAGUAGGGAAUCUUCCGCAAUGGGCGAAAUCCUGACGGAGCAACGCCGCGUGAGUGAAGAAGGUCUUCGGAUCGUAAAACUCUGUUAUUAGGGAAGAACAAAUGUGUAAGUAACUAUGCACAUCUUGACGGUACCUAAUCAGAAAGCCACGGCUAACUACGUG